CAGUCGCCGCGGUAAUACGUAGGGUGCAAGCGUUAAUCGGAAUUACUGGGCGUAAAGCGUGCGCAGGCGGUUAUAUAAGACAGAUGUGAAAUCCCCGGGCUCAACCUGGGAACUGCAUUUGUGACUGUAUAGCUAGAGUACGGCAGAGGGGGAUGGAAUUCCGCGUGUAGCAGUGAAAUGCGUAGAUAUGCGGAGGAACACCGAUGGCGAAGGCAAUCCCCUGGGCCUGUACUGACGCUCAUGCACGAAAGCGUGGGGAGCAAACAGGAUUAGAUACCCGUGUAGUCCCUGUCUCUUAUAA
rnacentral:rRNA from 1 species